rnacentral:lncRNA from 1 species
UUGAUUUUUCGGAGCAUUUGUUACUAUUUUUUUUAUUCUUUUCUUCUGUACAGUUAAUACAUUUUAUUACAAAAUUAAUAUAUCUGUUCGACAAAGCUCAUUCUGGAUUCUUUGAUCCUUCUUUUAUUCUUUAGAGUUCUUUUCUUUCUUAAAGGUAAAAUGGAACAAACCGGUAGAAGCAUACCGACAAGGUGGGAUCUAAGAGUUAGAACUUAUUAAGCAUUUCGCACAUACCAUAUCGCUAAUGACACAUUUCUAUUUCUAUUAUAUAGAAAAGCCAAAGAGGUCGACCAAGGGUAAAAGAGUAAUUUAAAUAUUUUUAUUAAAAUAAUUACUUUUAUCAUUGGUGUUUAUUUCUUGUUGUUUCCAGGUUUGGCUCUAGAAGCAUCCUUCUUCAAUCUUUCUCAUCCCCAAAAUCAAACGCAAGACUACUCUUAUUCCAAUAUCAAUUUCAUAUUCUCUCACUUCUCUUCAUCACCGCAUCUGGCAUUGUCGUUUCAGGUAUGCUUUUCUGUUAGUAAUUUUUUGCCCAAAUCUUCUUCUAAUUCUCUUAGAAUUUUCCAAAGUCAUGCCUAAUGUUGUUAUUUUCCUGCCUCUCUUUUCAAUGUUCUUCGGCAUUUCAUUCUCUUUCUGUUUCACUUUUCGCCUUUAAUCUGUUAUUUUUGCAUGAUUUUUAUUUUCUCUUCAGUCUUCCAAAGACUACCCUUUCAGAGUUUCAGUUCGUUUCGUCUACUCGGCUUGGGGAUAUAAUUAAUUUCAAGUAUGAUUUUCUUAUUUUUUGCCAAAAUUUCUUCCAUUUCUCUUAUGUCUUCCCUGUUUUAUUGCUGGAGUUAGUAAACCCAUUUUUAUUAAUUCAUAUUCUUGGAAGAUAAUAUGAAUUUUCAAGUUGGUAAUUAGUUGAAUUUGUCAUAAGCUAAAACAAUCUCUUGAUUUUAGCACAUUUCUGACACAGGAUCUAUGCAAGUUAUGUGUCAAGACAACAACUUAAAUUAAUUCGCAGACUUUUGAGUAUAAUUCUUCUGCUACUUGAAAUUAUCGUAGGGGUCUUUUUUUAUUUUAUUUUUUUAUUCAGGUUUAUUCUAUGUUUUGAAAAUUUAUGCAUUGCUACUGUGAAAAGAUUACCUACAAAAUGUCACCAUUGGAAUUUGAUUUUUUUUUUAUUUUUUUAUGAUGCCCCUCUUUUGGAACACCGAGCUUAGGCCUUUAGAUAUAUAGCAGAGUACACAUUAAAAAGGAGAUAGAAUGGAUGUCGAUGUCAAUUCGUUGUGUGUUUCUCUCUUUAUUAUUUGUCGAUCAAAUGGACUGCUGUGACAGAAUCAUAUUCCUGGGUAAUGUACUUUUGCAGAGUGUAUAAUAAAUUAAUAAAAGAUUAUUGUAUGUGCUUUGUCAUAUAGAGAUGAAAUGUUAUUGCAUUCAGUGUUUUCUGAACUACUAAGUUGUAUUGAUUAAAAUUAACUGUUUAUUAUACCUAGCUUUGUAACUUCCUAUCUGAACAUGUUACUGCAAACUCUUUUAUUCAUGAUUACAGAUAAAUUGUUGUCAAAAUAAAGUUAUUUUGUUGUCGUUAUUUUCAGGAACUUUGAAGUAUAGUUAGAGGCAUCGUCAACCUAAAAAGGUAAGUUUAUGCUAUUUUACUUGACGGGAAUCAAUGCAUAAACUAUGACUUUAUACAUAACUGAUAAAAAUUAUUAUUUUGUAUGUGUCAUUGGAAUGAAUGAAGUGUACUUUGUGUCAUUGUUAAGAAAUUUAUGCUCUUCGUAUUAGUAAUACCAUAAUAUAAUUUGUGUCGUUUAUGUUUGCUUUGUCGUGCAAGCUUUGAAUGAGACUAUACUUUUCAUUAUCUCUAUCUGGUGUUAGAUUUAAAUAAACAAUAAACAAAACUUCCUUGUGAAAAGUUUGUAAACCAUAAUAGCUCUUUGAGCUUAGCAUUAUUAAGGUCAAAGUAUAUAUGAAUUCUGGGAUGAAUUUAAGACAAUGUGAGACAUCUAUAUCGUCGUCUUUUUGAGCAUUCUAUUGUUAAUAAAUUCAUAGUUUAAGACAAGUGUAUUUCAUCGUCAUUUUGUUGUCAUAUUCUCUUCAAUGAGGUUAUAAAGUAUCAUUUCUUAUUUUCAAUAUAGUCUAUAGCACUACGUUUAAUCGUGAUUAUAUGAACAUUUGCCUAGGCUUCUAGCUCAUCUCAGUUGGUAACUAAUUUAAUUAGACAAUUUGUCAGAUACAUAAGAGCUUGAAGGUAUAAUGCAAUAAUAGAUACCAACUAUCGUUAAUCUACUUGAGUACAACUUCUUAUAAUUGAAAAUUGGAUAACCGCAUUAGAGAAACUACUGUCAUGUACUAAAUUUAGGGCAAACAACCCACUUUUUUCUUGGCCAUAUUGACAUAUUCCUCUGUCGCCUUUACAAGUAUACAAGGCAUCGCUAUUAGUAGCAGGCUCCGAUAGAAUUUGUUUCUAGACUAAGAAGUGAAAAUGAGAAGGGCCAGAUACUUUUAGCGCAGUUGGAAUAAGUUCACUUAACAAUUUUUAGUUUAGUAUUUUUAAUGGUAAACUGUCUUUUUUUUUCUUUUCUUUUUUUGCCUCUUUUCAGUUUACUGCACUUAAACUAAAUCUUAUCUUUUUCAUUUACCUUUUGUGAUUUUUAAGAACAUACUUAGUGCUUAAACUUUUUCAAAUUAGAGCCUUACUCCGUUUAAAGAAGUAUAAAUAAUACCCCCCUGAGAUAUCAUAUGAUGUCGGAAAUAUUUGUUGUACUACCUUAAUAGGAAUUUUGAUAUGCUCUUGGGUUACUUUAAUUAUGUUGGUUCACUUGGCAGUUUGAAACUUUAGAUUGUGAUUUCGAGUAUAUUAUUCGAACAGAAUAAAUGCAAGAGUUGCAUUUUGUUUUGCUGUAGAGUUUUUAAGGUAUCAGUAUAGUAUGUAAAAUACUGAAGGAAGAUCAUAAUUCAACCUUAUGUUUGUGAGAAUAAGUUUCUAUUUAGUUUAAAAUUUCACCAUCCAUUUGCUAUAUGAAUUCCCUUCUACCAAAAGAUCUUCAGUACAAAAACAAAACUUUUUUAUCUAUUCUCUUAAAUUAUACUCCCUCCUUUUCAAUUUAUGUGAACCCAUUUGACUGGGCACGCAGUUUAAGAAAAGAGAGAAAACUUUUGAACUUGUGGUGUAAAUGAAGCACAUAUAUUUUGUGUGGCUAUAAAUUAUUGCAUAAAGGUAAAUUGUUUCCAAAUAGGGAAAGAGGUCAUUCUUUUUGGCACGGACUAAAAAGGAAAUAGGUUCACAUAAAUUGAAACGGAGGGAGUAUAAAAGUAAUCUAGCUGAAGCAGAUAUGGUUUGCCUAAAAACCUCCAACGUGUAUUUAAAGUUGCAUAUGAUUUUGUUAGAAAUUACAGAUUAUUGUUUAGGGCACUCAAAGCGGAGGCGUGUUAUAGUGAAUAGUGAAUACUGAGAUAGUGUUGGGCCCGUGCUAAGCACGGGCUUGCAUCAUCUAGUUAGUAAUAUAUGAUGCAAGUGUUAGUCGGUUGAGAUACCUAAGGAUGAUACUGAUCAAGUUUGAAGCAGUAUCUGAGUUGAGACUGGACAAAGAGAUACGUAUUACCUGUGAAUGAAAUAGACAAUAUACAGAACUUGUAGGAAUUUUAUUGUGAAAUAUGUUUUCUUCCAACCACUUAUUUGGGCUUCUUUUUAGGAGCAAGACACAAGGCUAGUGAGAUGGCAAAGGGUGAUUGAUAGAUGUGGGAAAAAAGUAUGCAAACAGAAAAACAAUAUUUAUCUUUGAGGGGCAGAGUGGUGUUGAUUACAUGGUAUUUUGGAUGCAAUGCCUACUUAUGUGAUGUCACUCUUCCCAGUGCCUAUAAAGGUUGCAAAUAAGUUGGACGAAAUGAGAAGCAAUUUUUUAUGGCAAGGAAACAAAGAGAAGAAGCAAUAUAUCUAAUAAAGUGGGACAGUGUCAUAAUGGAUAAGAAGAUGAUAGGUUUAGAAAUAAAGAGAAAGGAUACAAUCGAGAGUUUAAUCGUGAAGUGGUUAUGAGAUAUCGUGUGGAAGAAGAAACAGGAUAAUUUAUUCUUAAAACAUCAUGGUGAAGAAAACUUCACUGUUAAAUCUUGUUACAAGGCCCUGAUGCUAAGAAAUACACAAGGAAGUGGCCAUAGAAAAAGAUUUUAAAAACAAGUAAUCCCUACAAGGUCUAACAUUUUCUAAAGUUUGCAUCCUAUGAGGUUUGUCAUUUGCAAAGGAAAAGAUACAAGAUGUGUAAGAGGUGUUGCUUAGUGAAAAGGGAAGUGAAGAAAAUAACAACAUAUUCCUUCAAUGUGAAGCGACCGUAGAAUUAUGGAACAUAUUACAGUUUGAAAUAGUCAAUGCCAAAAUCAAGAAAGAGUUCAUAGAAAAAGAAGGUAUGGACAACGAUCUUGGCUUGAAUUUAGUGGACCAUAUAGGGAGAGAAAAAUGUUAGGUGUUGCAAAAGCAAAGCAGAGUGGGUCAGUAUGAUUAUAUACAAGUGUCUAGCAUUGUUGUCCUUCUUGUGCAAAAACGAUUAUACUAAGGAUUCUAUUAAUAUGCUAGAUUUUAUUAGCAGACUUCAAAAUUAGAAAUGAAUGUCGUUACUUUUGUUUGUAAUAGCACAAUACCUAUUUAGUGUUGUUAUUUAAUAAAGUUAGUUUUACUCUUUAAACAUGAUUCUUUUAAUAUAUUGUUUGAUAUCUUUCUUUCUCUGUUUCAGUUGGUGCUCUUUUUUUCUAUUGACUAGUCCUUCCGGAACAGGCUUUCUUGGUUACUCAGAGGUACAAUUUCGCUUUCUUUAAAAUUUUAUCUGAGGAUAUUUCAGACUUUUGUUUCCUCAGACUUUUCACGAUACUUAAUGCAAAGUGGAUUUAACCCUGCAACUGAGUAGAUAUGUAUUGGCCAUUUUCUUGCUCUUUGUUCGUCGUCUUUUCCCGGCUUCUAUUUCAUCUUCCUCUGUUCAGAUUUUGCUGAUUUAUGCAUUUCAAUAAAAAAAUAUUGCAUGCCCAUAGAGCUAUGCUAAUGUUCUUGAUGCUUUGAAUCCAGAUCUGUUAGAGCGGACGGGUUUCUUUCAGUUUGUCUCUUCAGUGAGUGGCGACUGGCGACUGGGCUAUUCAAAGCUCAAAGUUGGUAUCUUUCGUUUAUGUAUUGUUGCUCGACUUUCCUCGGUUAACAUAUGAUGCUACCCUUAGCUAUUUAUGUUAUUGAAGUCGUAUGCUUAAGCUUUGGCUAAUUUAGGAGAUCUAAAUUAUCUCUAUUUUUUUAAUGAUUUCUUUGUACUAUGAUUUUAUUUUCUGUUCUUCAUUUUGGUCUUCUUAUUACCUUUUCUGUUGUUCUAUAUGGUUUCUGUAUUUUGGUCUUUUAAUUCUUUGGUCGUGAUUAUAUUUUGAUGUCGCAGUGAUAGUAAAUUCGUAAAUUCAUUGACUUUUAUGAUUUGUGUGUUGAGGAGGGAGCUCAAGCUGAAAGAUCUGGUCAACCCUUUCCUUCGAGCAGUUUGUUUGCGAAAUGAACGGUAUAAACUUUUCUUUUGUUCAAUCACGGUCACUAACUCUUUAAUAAAACAUUAGAAGUAAAAAUUGGGACUAAUUUGAUACUUGGUUUUUGGUUUUAUAGGUUCUUAUCUGUGUGAGUUUCUUUUUUUUUUUUGGGUAACCGGUCUAUGUAUGUUCGGGUUUGUAAUUUUAUUGACCAACUUUAAGCCUUCGAUCUUUUUCUCUAUUUGAGGUAGCAUGCGUUUUUCUGGGAUUGCUUGUAGAGCAUAGUGAAAAUGCAACUUAGUUCAAAUUGUAAUCCUUACACAUGAUUUCCUUGACUAUAAUAGUGAUUGUCAUUUCAUUAGUUGACUUCUUUUUACAAACUUCUCAUUAAGUAGUGGAUCUCCAGGCUCUACGACAGAUGCAUGAGCAGCGGAGGAAAUUCCCUCAGGGACAUAUGUAAACAAAAAAUCUUAGAUGUUAGAGAUUGUUAGUGCUAGAUAAUAAAGUAUUACUUGAGAACUUAGAAAUUGCUAUUUAGUUGUUUAAAUUACCAGAUUAGCGAAUGAAUUACUUUCAUUGAACAGCUUAUUCCCUAGAUAACAUGUUACGUGCACAAAAAUUAGAAUUUGUCAACCGAAAUUUUACUGGAAUAUAGAAAGCAACAUUACUUA